CUGAAAGCAUCUAAGCGCGAAGCCAACUUCAAGAUAAGAUUUCCCACCGCAAGGGUAAGACCCCAGAAAGACUAUCUGGUUGAUAGGUCGAAGGUGUAAGUGCAGCAAUGUAUUUAGCUUAUCGAUACUAAUAGGUCGAGGACUUGACCAA
rnacentral:rRNA from 1 species